rnacentral:rRNA from 1 species
AUUGAACGCUGGCGGCAUGCCUUACACAUGCAAGUCGAACGGCAGCAUGGAGAGCUUGCUCUCUGAUGGCGAGUGGCGAACGGGUGAGUAAUGCAUCGGAACGUACCGUGUAAUGGGGGAUAACGUAGCGAAAGUUACGCUAAUACCGCAUACGACCUGAGGGUGAAAGCAGGGGAUCGCAAGACCUUGCGUUAUCCGAGCGGCCGAUGUCAGAUUAGCUAGUUGGUGGGGUAAAGGCUCACCAAGGCGACGAUCUGUAGCGGGUCUGAGAGGAUGAUCCGCCACACUGGGACUGAGACACGGCCCAGACUCCUACGGGAGGCAGCAGUGGGGAAUUUUGGACAAUGGGGGCAACCCUGAUCCGGCCAUGCCGCGUGAGUGAAGAAGGCCUUCGGGUUGUAAAGCUCUUUCGGCCGGGAAGAAAUCGCACAGGCUAAUACUCUGUGUGGAUGACGGUACCGGCAUAAGAAGCACCGGCUAACUACGUGCCAGCCGCCGCCGUAA